AACAACUCACCUGCCGAAUGAAUCAGCCCUGAAAAUGGAUGGCGCUUAAGCGGGCGACCGACACCAUGCCGUCUGUACAAGAUGAAUGUUUACAGAUGAGUAGGAGGACGUGGCGGUCGUGUCGAAGCAUGCGUGCGAACGCGUGUGGAACGGCCGCUAGUGCAGAUCUUGGUGGUAGUAGCAAAUAUUCAAGCGAGAUCCUUGAAGGGCGAAGCGGGGAAGGGUUCCACGCAAACAUUGAUUGGGCGUGGGUGAGUCGUUCCUAAGCCGAGUGGCAAUUGCUAAGUAGCGGCGAAAGGGAAGCAGGUUGACAUUCCUGCACACGGAUGUGGAGGCGGUGACGCUUUAAUGAGGGCGAAGACGCUGGCGAUGGCGCUGGGCAGAGAUUUCUUUUCUGUUUGACCGCUGAAGCGCSCGGUGUGGAAUCCGCUUGUCGGGAGAAACACGCGCGUUCGGGCAGAGCGCCGGGGCUAUUCCGGCGUCCAGCUCGCCAUCGACGGCCCUUGAAAAUUUGCCUGCUGGAAUAGUUUUUUUAUUCUAUGAAGAUCCACGCCGUGGCGUACCGAUAACCGCAUCAGGUCCCCAAGGUGAACAGCCUCUGCUCUAUAUGAAUAAU
rnacentral:rRNA from 1 species